rnacentral:tRNA from 1 species
AAGGGUUAAGUGUACAGAUGGUUCUGUAGUAGACCUGCAAAGUCUAAAACUUAAGGUUCAAUUCCUUCUUAACUCUAA